UACGGGGGGGGCAAGCGUUGUUCGGAAUUACUGGGCGUAAAGGGCUCGUAGGCGGCCAACUAAGUCGGAUGUGAAAUCCCCAGGCUUAACCUGGGAACUGCAUCCGAUACUGGAUGGCUUGAAUCCGGGAGAGGGAUGCAGAAUUCCAGGUGUAGCGGUGAAAUGCGUAGAUAUCUGGAGGAACACCGAUGGCGAAGGCAAUCCCCUGGGCCUGCACUGACGCUCAUGCACGAAAGCGUGGGGAGCAAACAGG
rnacentral:rRNA from 1 species